rnacentral:tRNA from 1 species
GGCAACGUGGCGGAGUGGUUAUCGCGCUAGCCUAGAACUUUAAACCGAAAGCUAGUUCCUUCGGGAGCGUCAGUUCGAGUCUGGCCGUUGUCG